GCUCGUAGCGCGCGCGCCGGGAACGCUGGUGGGAGGUGGGCGGGGGGAUGUAGGUCAUCGAGCCUCUGCGUUGUCUCUCUGAAUUCCGCCAAUCCGGAAAGGAAUCCUUGAGAAAUGCUCUGGCUAGACUGAGGACUGAUAAAAAAGGCUGAAAACCAGGCUAAAAAAAAUGACAUCAGGAACCAAGGCAUCUACGACCACAGCUCAUCUCAUGGUCAGAACACCUUGAGGCAAAUUGUGUCUUUUGUGCAUUGUGCUCUGACCAAAGGACCCUGCCAGGGUGGAGGCUGGGGAUAUGACUUCAGCAGCUGCUAUGUUGAACUUAUCUUCCUUCUCCAGUCUACCCAAGAGAAUCAAAGGAGAAGCAGGCAGGUGUUAUGGAAGAGCCUGGAAUGAGGUGACAGGAUUCUGGAGUCACAUGGGGUGACUCCACUCCAUUUGCCUCCAGAACUUCAAUGUUCCUGCCUGGGUUGGGAGGGAGAUGGGUUAGAAACAAAAGUCUUGAACCCUUGGCCCAAGGGCCAAAUCCAGCCCUCAGAAAUGUCUGUUUGGCUUAUAGAAUACCCAAAAUAAUUUGAGUUAAUUGCAGCAUUUAAAACUCAGUGUGGGUUCAAUAAAAAAAUGA